rnacentral:rRNA from 1 species
UACGUAGGGUCCGAGCGUUGUCCGGAAUUAUUGGGCGUAAAGGGCUCGUAGGCGGUUUGUCGCGUCGGGAGUGAAAACACCGGGCUUAACUCGGUGCUUGCUUUCGAUACGGGCAGACUUGAGGCAUGCAGGGGAGAACGGAAUUCCUGGUGUAGCGGUGAAAUGCGCAGAUAUCAGGAGGAACACCGGUGGCGAAGGCGGUUCUCUGGGCAUGUCCUGACGCUGAGGAGCGAAAGUGUGGGGAGCGAACAGGAUUAGAAACCCCCGUAGUCC